CCUGCAAACAGGCCGAUUCAAGCCUUGCGAUUCGGGUCGGGUUGGGUUACUGAAAUGAACGAAAAAAACGCCCGCAUUCUGCUCCGUUGUGUACUACACGUCAGCCCGUUGCAUUUAGCAGGAGUGGUCUAUCUUACUCCGCUAUAGGAUCUUUGAUUUUGGGUUGAUGUCC